rnacentral:rRNA from 1 species
UACGAAGGGGGCUAGCGUUGCUCGGAAUCACUGGGCGUAAAGCGCACGUAGGCGGCUUCUUAAGUCAGGGGUGAAAUCCUGGAGCUCAACUCCAGAACUGCCUUUGAUACUGAGGAGCUUGAGUCCGGGAGAGGUGAGUGGAACUGCGAGUGUAGAGGUGAAAUUCGUAGAUAUUCGCAAGAACACCAGUGGAGAAGGCGGCUCACUGGCCCGGUACUGACGCUGAGGUGCGAAAGCGUGGGGAGCAAACAGG